GGAGUCGUAGUUCAGUUGGUUAGAAUACCGGCCUGUCACGCCGGGGGUCGCGGGUUCGAGUCCCGUCCACUCCGCCA
rnacentral:tRNA from 1 species